UAAUACGAAGGGACCUAGCGUAGUUCGGAAUUACUGGGCUUAAAGAGCUCGUAGGUGGUUAGAGAAGUUGGUGGUGAAAUCCCAAGGCUUAACCUUGGAACUGCCAUCAAAACUUUUUGACUAGAGUAUGAUAGAGGAAAGUGGAAUUUCUAGUGUAGAGGUGAAAUUCGUAGAUAUUAGAAAGAACACCGAUUGCGAAGGCAGCUUUCUGGAUCAUUACUGACACUGAGGAGCGAAAGCAUGGGUAGCGAAGAGGAUUAGAUACCCUCGUAGUCCAUGCUGUAAACGAUGUGUGCUAGACGUUGGAAAUUUAUUUUUCAGUGUCGCAGCAAAAGCGUUAAGCACACCGCCUGGGGAGUACGACCGCAAGGUUA
rnacentral:rRNA from 1 species